GUGAGUAGUUCAGAGUUUGAUCCUGGCUCAGGACGAACGCUGGCGGCGUGCUUAACACAUGCAAGUCGAGCGGGGAGUACAAGGGAGCUUGCUCCUGAGUAUUCUAGCGGCGGACGGGUGAGUAACGCGUGAGCAACCUUUCUCUCAGUGGGGAAUAACACAGGGAAACUUGUACUAAUACCGCAUGAGACCACAGAGUCGCAUGACUUAGGGGUCAAAGAUUUAUUGCUGAGAGGUGGGCUCGCGUCUAAUUAGGUAGUUGGUGAGGUAACGGCCCACCAAGCCGACGAUCAGUAGCCGACCUGAGAGGGUGAUCGGCCACAUUGGGACUGAGACACGGCCCAA
rnacentral:rRNA from 1 species